ensembl:lncRNA
CCCCCCCCCCCCCCCCCCCCCCCCCCCCCCCCCCCCCCCCCCCCCCCCCCCCCCCCCCCCCCCCCCCCCCCCCCCCCCCCCCCCCCCCCCCCCCCCCCCCCCCCCACCCCCCCGGUUUUUUUAAUUUUAAAUUAUCCAUCUCUCCGGUUGAGCUCUUGCUGUAGGAGCACCAACCCGACGAGCAUCAUUUUCGUCGGUGCAUAGAGGAAAGCUGUAGGUGAAGCCGCAGGAACCCUCUUUGCCUGACAGGAGCUUUACAAAGGAAGGUCAGUCACCAGGUACCCAUUACGCAGGCAAAGGAAGCUGAGACUCAUGCAAAGCCUCUGGCAAAGGUGGAAACAAAACCUCGGGCUGUGAUCCUGCAUUAAAAGCCGUCUGGAUCUGCCUGCCUGGAGCUCCUUACAGAUCAGCAGUCUGGGACUGGACCGGUGAAGACGUAACUCCCUUUGUGCCUGCUGUUACUGCUGAACCCCCAAAACGCUGCCUCUCGCUGCUGCGGGUGCCACCCAGACCUCUCCCACCGCAGCACUUGGUCGCAGCAGGGCUCAACACCCGGCUACUCCCACUGAUGUCUCGAGGACGAGGCAAGAGGCUACUGAUGCUUCUGAUCCCAGCCUGCCUCCCUGCAGGGGGAGACACAAGAGGAGAUGUGGAGAAGUGUUGGAGAAGAGCAGAGGACAAAGCUAGAGGAGCGGGCUGCUACAGAAACCAGCUUCACUUCUUGGCAUCGCAUUCUGCUGCAGCGUGGCUCCAGAGCAUUUGUCAGAUACCGAACUGCAGGUUCCAGUCCUGCUGACCACCACCUAUGAUGAGGAGAUCCCCAGACUCCAGCAGACUCUCAGACACUGCUCUGAUGGCAGGAGCUCCCCAGCAACCUGGCAAAUGUGACCAUGACCUGGCAGACAGGACAAAGUCAAAGACCCGCUGGACUCUAAGGUACGAGGGGGGGACGGGCAGGGCUCUGUGUAGAGCGGGAAUGGUAGAGAGAAGAUGCCAUGCCCCUGUUGUGUUUUGUUAACCUGAAAUAAAUAGAGCUAUGGAAUUUAACAAACUGAUCUGAAAGGUGAGUUUCUCCCAUGUGCUGUGUGUAGGAUGCCUGUCUUCCUCUGGCUGAUCUACCCUCAUAGGAACUUGUGCUUUAGGUUUAGUGUGUAGAAAACUUUAGGUCCUAGGUCCACAUUCAAGUGUUUGUCCAAAUGUGAUUGGAUUACCAUUCCUUUAAGCCUGGUCUUAUUUCUUUUCCUCAGAUAGAACUCAUGCGUUAGAAUUUUUCCACCAUCCCUCUGUCUCUGGAGAGAAUCUUGGAGACUUGAAGGUGACUUUUCUGAAAAAUGGUCUCAAUAUAAUUCCAAAAAUACUUUAUAAUUUGGAGCCUGCUCCUCAACCUCCAGCAGAGAUCAAAGAGAUCCCAGAAAAAAUAUUAAGCACCAUGCAUUCCUAGGAGCUGAGCCUUCAGCUGUAAUGAAUCAAUCAACUACCCUUUUAUCAGCCAGAUAUAAAUGGACUUAUGGCAUUUUGGAUCCAAAGGCUACUAGUAUGAGACUGCUGGUUUAGGCUUUGUUUUCAUUAAAAAGUUUGACUCCAAAGGAAGAUCUGUUUCCAAACAGUGUUUUUUACAUCUUCCUGUUAUUUUCACCUUCAAGCUUGCUCAGCCAGUUGGGUAUGAAAACCUUGUUCUUGCUAACUAGUGGCAAGAUCAUGUGUUGAUGGUAUGUAUGGGGUGCUAAUUACUAUCUGUCAUUG